GUGCCGGUGGUGUAAUGGCGCAUUCCCGCCGGUCAGCAGGAGGUGCGGGUUCGAGUCCCGCCCGACGCU
rnacentral:tRNA from 1 species